rnacentral:rRNA from 1 species
CCUACGGGAGGCAGCAGCGGGGAAUAUUGGACAAUGGGCGAAAGCCUGAUCCAGCAAUGCCGCGUGAAGGACGAAGGCCUCUGGGUCGUAAACUCAUGUCAGUUGGGACGAAAAGCCGUCGGUUAAUAAUCGGCGGUCCUGACAGUACCACCAGAGGAAGCCCCGGCUAACUCCGUGCCAGCAGCCGCGGUAAU